GCUGGGCAUGGUGGCGCGCGCCUGUAAUCCCAGCUACUUGGAGGCUGAGGUGGGAGGAUCGCUUGAGUCCAGGAGUUCUGGGCUGCAGUACGCUAUGCUGAUCAGGUGUCCGCACUAAGUUCGGCAUCAAUAUGGUGACCUCCUGGGAGCGGGGGACCACAUCAGGUUGCCUAAGGAGGGGUGAACAGGCCCAGGUCGGAAACAGAGCAGGUCACUAAUAAUUACAGAUGUACAAAGUAACACACCCAAAUUAAGACUUUUCAUAUUCAACUAUUAGUUCAGCUAACAGAUCAUGUGUAACAGAGCACGUUGUAUUCUACCACA
ensembl:misc_RNA Metazoa_SRP Metazoan signal recognition particle RNA